rnacentral:rRNA from 1 species
GAUGAACGCUGGCGGCGUGCCUAAUACAUGCAAGUCGAGCGAACAGAUGAGGAGCUUGCUCCUCUGACGUUAGCGGCGGACGGGUGAGUAACACGUGGAUAACCUACCUAUAAGACUGGGAUAACUUCGGGAAACCGGAGCUAAUACCGGAUAAUAUAUUGAACCGCAUGGUUCAAUAGUGAAAGACGGUUUUGCUGUCACUUAUAGAUGGAUCCGCGCCGCAUUAGCUAGUUGGUAAGGUAACGGCUUACCAAGGCAACGAUGCGUAGCCGACCUGAGAGGGUGAUCGGCCACACUGGAACUGAGACACGGUCCAGACUCCUACGGGAGGCAGCAGUAGGGAAUCUUCCACAAUGAGCGAAAGCCUGACGGAGCAACGCCGCGUGAGUGAUGAAGAUCUUCGGAUCGUAAAACUCUGUUAUUAGGGAAGAACAAAUGUGUAAGUAACUAUGCACGUCUUGACGGUACCUAAUCAGAAAGCCACGGCUAACUACGUG